rnacentral:rRNA from 1 species
UACGGAGGGCGCAAGCGUUGUUCGGAAUCAUUGGGCGUAAAGCGCGUGUAGGCGGUCUGGUCAGUCGGGGGUGAAAUACCGGAGCUCAACUCCGGAACUGCAUUCGAUACUGCCAGGCUAGAGUCCCGGAGAGGGUAGUGGAAUUCCCGGUGUAGCAGUGAAAUGCGUAGAGAUCGGGAGGAACAUCUGUGGCGAAGGCGACUACCUGGACCAGCACUGACACUGAGGCACGAAAGCGUGGGGAGCAAACAGG